CAACCCUCAAGCUCUGCUUGGUAUUGGGCCGCGGGCGUCAGCCCGGGCCUUAAAAUCAGUGGCGGUGCCACCUGGCUCUGAGCGUAGUACAUCUCUCGCUAUAGAUGCCCGGUGGAUGCUUGCCAUAACCCCCAAUUUUUUAAU
rnacentral:misc_RNA from 1 species